CCUACGGGAGGCAGCAGUGAGGAAUAUUGGUCAAUGGUCGGGAGACUGAACCAGCCAAGCCGCGUGAGGGAGGAAGGUACAGAGUAUCGUAAACCUCUUUUGUCAGGGAACAAAGGCGGGGACGUGUCCCCGGAUGAGUGUACCUGAAGAAAAAGCAUCGGCUAACUCCGUGCCAGCAGCCGCGGUAAUACGGAGGAUGCGAGCGUUAUCCGGAUUGAUUGGGUUUAAGGGGUGCGCAGGCGGUCUGUUAAGUCAGCGGGAAAAGCCCGGGCUGCAACCCCGGCCCGCCGUUGAAACUGGCAGUCGCGAGUUGGAGAGAAGUAUGCGGAAUGCGCGGUGUAGCGGUGAAAUGCAUAGAGAUCGCGCAGAACUCCGAUUGCGAAGGCAGCAUGCCGGCUCCACACUGACGCUGAGGCACGAAAGCGUGGGUAUCGAACAGGAUUAGAUACCCUAGUAGUC
rnacentral:rRNA from 1 species